CAUCUCCAGCACCUGGUCUGCCCUGCAGCCCAGCCCCAUUCAGGUGGGGAGCAGUAUCCAGCCCAGCUGUGGUGCCGCAGGGACAGGGACACCUGCCCAGGAGCUCGUUAGUCACAAAGCACUUGCCUGACGGCCAUGAUGUGAUUUAUUUUGUCAUUAGCCUUAUCUCACAUUCUAAAACCGACUUAGUUUCUAAACUGCAUGAGGUUUUGUACUUUCAUUAAUCUCCCGUGUUUGAUAGACUAAAUUAACCUUUUUAAGGACAAAAGAAUUUCCUUUUUCAUUUUUCCAUGGUCAAACAAGCUGAGGGGCUGUUUCUCCAACAUUUCCCUUAACUUAAAGAACACUUGUGUGUGCGAGUGUAAGCGGGUGCGCCUGCAUCCAUCGCUGUAGGCCAGUCAUCAAGAUAUUUUCCUCCCCACUCCCUCUGCUAAUUUUUAUAUGGAAGCCUUUCUGUCACCUCCCAGACGUUAAUAAAAUUGGAAAUGAGCAGCACUGAGGAUGCACACACGAGGCAGAGCAACCCAAUGAGGGACUGUCCCUCAUACCAAUAAAACCCGCCGCAUUUCUCCAGGCAGUGUGUGAAAUAUAGUGGGUACAUAACAUAUCCCGCAAUAAAAGGCUGCCAUGUGACUCCCCGGCACCCAGGGAGCUAUCAUUUUCAAUUAGGAAAAAGGCCUCUGGCACACAACAAAGACAGCAGAAGCACCGCGUGCAGUUAAGGUGAAAUUUAACUUCAUUAAGGCUCAAUGCAGAUUAGCAUUUGCCUUUGUCUGAGCACUGCGUCCCUCUACCACCAUGCAGGAGAGGACUUCACAGUGCUGGCUUUGCUGAUGGCCUGGUGCAGGUGUGACAGAAGAGAGGAAACCCCAAAACAACACUUGCAGGAGGCAUGCAGCACAGAAGACCUUUGUAGAAAGUUGAAAAUUACCAUCCUCACCAAGCAGGGCCUGUAAUUUAAACAUAAAUCUGCUUCUAAGGUGCUGAAUAUCAAGGCCAGUCAUCAUUUUGGGAUGUAAAACCAGCCUGCUUUCUGCUUGAUUUAAGGCACUGCCUCUCCUUGCUCCCAGCUGGGAUAAGAGGAAUAUAUAAACCCUCUGGUGCCUGCCCCUUCCCACUGCUGAGGGCACUGCCUGUGCCUACAGUUCCGCAUGAACCCCCUAACUGGUUUGUACAGUUACAGCAAAUCCAACACAUCAUUCUGGGCACAUCUCUUUAAUGUCUCACUUAAAUCUCCAUUGUAUCCUAAUGAGCUUAACUUGGUUUUUACCUCAGGUUUCCUGAAGUUAAUCUGCUAUGAUGUUGACCUGUGUUUAUUAAAGCAUUUCUUAUGUUUUCAACAGAAAUAUGCUGCCCAGAGAAGCUGUGGUGCCCCAUCCCUGGAGACGCUCAAGGCCAGGUUGGAUGGGGCCCUGGGCAGCCUGAGCUGGUGGGGGCAGCCCUGCCCAUGGCAGGGGGUGGGGCUGGGUGGGCUGUGAGGUCCUUCCAACCCAAACCAUGCUGUGAUUCUAUGAUUCUGGUAUGACAAGCCCACCAUGGCACCGCUCUCUCUUGCAGGACCCCACUUGGGUCGGAGCUGGCUGCUCAUCAGUGUGACUGUGAGACACAACCCCACUGCUUGGCUGUAAGGCGGGACACCCGCUGCUUUGUCCCCACUUGGUUUCUGCAGGAGACUAGCAAGCUGAGUUUGGAGCCAGUAUGGAUCCGGGAGGUGUCAGCAACACAAGUGAGCACGGGGAAAUAUUACUAGAGGACUUGGAAAGUCUUCUGAUGUAUGUGUUGUCUUACUUGGAUCCAUCCACACCUCCAGUCUCUACCUUUCACACCUGGCCUUAAGGUACAGAACACUGCAGGAGGAAGCUGGGAGCGCCUGCCAGAGCACAUCGUCCUACUCCAGUGUCAGCAGCAAAUGCAAGAGGACAGAGACAUCAGCUGUGCACUUUUAACUUUGAGGAAUGUUUUUAUGAUGUAAACCACCGAACAUAUUACCAAAGAGCAUUCCUUUGCACUUAGGUAAAGCACAUUUUCAGCUUUUGAGGCUGAGAAUCGUCACAAGAAAAUUUACUGAGCAAGUAGCUAAGAUGGAAGAGGAAGGACAUGCAGUUAUGUCUAGUAUUAAAAGAAAAUAGAUUGUGCGCUGUAUGAAAACACACUAUAAACCGGUCUAAAAAAAAAAAAAAAAGAAAAACAACUCACAUAUUUGACAGCUAACA